rnacentral:rRNA from 1 species
GUCGAGCGGUAACAGUAGGUGUAGCAAUACACUUAGCUGACGAGCGGCGGACGGGUGAGGAACACGUAGGAACUUGCCCUUAAGAGGGGGACAACCAAGGGAAACUUUGGCUAAUACCGCAUAAACUCGAGAGAGUAAAGCUGCCCGCGAGGGUAGCGCUUAAGGAGUGGCCUGCGUCCGAUUAGCUAGUUGGUGAGGUAAGAGCUCACCAAGGCGAUGAUCGGUAACUGGUCUGAGAGGACGACCAGUCACACUGGGACUGAGACACGGCCCAGACUCCUACGGGAGGCAGCAGUGGGGAAUAUUGGACAAUGGGGGCAACCCUGAUCCAGCGAUGCCGCGUGAGUGAAGAAGGCCUUCGGGUCGUAAAGCUCUUUAGGUUGGGAAGAAGUGUGGUGGCUGAAUAAGCUGCCAUGUUGACGGUACCGACAGAAUAAGCACCGGCAAACUCUGUGCCAGCAGCCGCGGUAAUACAGAGGGUGCGAGCGUUAAUCGGAGUUACUGGGUGUAAAGGGCGCGUAGGCGGUAUUAUGUGUGUGAUGUGAAAGCCCCGGGCUUAACCUGGGAAGAGCAUCGCAAACUAUGAAACUAGAGUAUAUGAGAGGGUGGCGGAAUUUCCGGUGUAGCGGUGAAAUGCGUAGAGAUCGGAAGGAACGUCGAUGGCGAAGGCAGCCACCUGGCAUAAUACUGACGCUGAGGCGCG